CCUGUUGUUAAGUAGUUUCAGCACCACAUUGCACUAUCUGGAAUUAAUUUUGAAUUUAGUGUUUUUUUCUGGAUGCUAGUCUUUCAGUAAGUACUCUCAGAUUUUGCAGGGUGGCUUGUAUUCAUCAUUAGUUGAAUUAGUACAUUCAAAAAGCAUUUGUGAAUGACUAGUUCAGAAGCCAUGCAAUGGGAACUUUUUUUGAUCCAAUUCUAUUUUAAAUAUGUAGUACUGGGAAGAGAUAAUGCACUAGAUUUUAAAAUGCUAUAUUAAAUCUGAGGAAAUGGAUUAAAUUGCAUUUUGAAAGUUGCACUGCCAAACCUGUAUAUGUUGCACUGCCAAACCCUCAGAUAUGCUGAGUAUAUAAUUAUUAUGAACUUUAGACUUUGUCUUAUUCCAGAUGAAAAUAUUCCUUAACGUAGAGCAUCAGAAAAGAAGAAAAAAAAAAGUUAGAAGCAAGAGAAUUCUAAUUUCCAGUUGUUCAGAGCACUUUUUUAUAGUAGUUGAUAAUAUUUCAUAUUUCAUCAUUACAAUAAUUUAGUUGCAUAUUCUAUGUUUCAAUUUAUUUAACUAUGAAUAGUUGCUUAUAAAGUUUCCUACCUAUACGAAUGAAGCUCCUUUUUAAAAAAGGGUUGGUUUUUUUUCACAUCUAAGAUAAUUUGAAAGUUCAAAAUGCACAUUUUUCAGCUUGCUGGUCUGCUUUUUAACAGUUUGUGACUUUAUUUAUUUAUUUAUUAAAUUUUUACCAGCCCCCAGGUGAUAGUGAGGUCAGUUUUUAUAAUGGCACUGUCGGUCGAACAGGAGUCCUCUUCCAUGCCCUUUGAAGAGAACAGAUUCUAUUUUGUCACCUUGAGCAGGUAUAGGAACAAGGCGCGAAGCUGAAUUUCUUCGGUCGUUUGGACAUUCCAAGAAAGCCAGUGGGAUUUUUUUGGCUGCUGAGGAAUGUGGGCUCAUUGCCUUCAUGUCUCAAGGUUCCAUCCGCCCGCAAAAUCAUCAGGAAUGACUCAGUUCUUCCCUGUGUGCUCCGUCCGUGGCAAUCCGGCUUGGAGAAACGCGAGCAGCCGAAGCAAAGCCGCUCUAAGCAGAAACGACUGUGACUCACAUCGCAGGCGAGAUGAGCCACCCUGUGGCAAUAUCCUGCAAUUUGCCUUUAUUGAGGGCGGAAGGACGACAAAACUAGUUGCUGAAUGUGUAAAGCAGUGGAAAGUAUUUGCUGGCUUUUUUUAAAAAAUAUAUAUAUAUUGGUACCAGAUGUGUUCUGCCUCCGUUUGCUAGUUAUUUAGUUUUCCAGAGGACUGGUGUAUAUAUAUUAUAGGUAUGGUCAAAAUCUGUGCAGCCACUGUGAUCCUGUGUGCCAAAACCAUGAGUUUUGCUAAUGCUGGCUGGCUCACUAGCUUAAUUUACCCUUGUUUAGGGACUAGGGGGUUGCAGAAUCAGGAAAGCCUAUUAAUGUAAGAGAACCUUAUGCAACCUCUGUGAACUUCCCAGCACUUUCUCUGCUGGGAGGGGGAAUGCAGGAACUGCUAAUUGUGUAACACUAGUAGUUUAGCAAUGCCACCUUCUGUUGUAAAAGAAUAAAACCGAAGAAAAUAAUCCUAUAGGUGAGAAUACUGGAAUAAUCCUAUUGAAUUAAAUGUAGCUUCUUUUGUUUUAGUUGAGUCAUAGUGUGAUAUGAUUUCAAAGUCCCACCUACCCCCAUGAUCCUGUGAAACACAGAGGGUAGACUUUCAAUCAGUUUAUGAGAUCUAGGUACUCAAAUCUAACUGCAUUUCAAUUGGAUGUAGGCACUUAAAUUCCAUUGUAGUUUAGAAUGCAUGCAUUUGAUCCUGUUAUAUUCCAAUGGGAUUUGGACCUUUCUCUCUCAGGAGACUAUGAAAUCUGACUUGGAGGACAUUUGUUUUAUGACAAAACAGCCAAUUUUCUUUCUCAGCUGUAGACUUCAGUGUUAGAAGUUAUGGAGCUUCUUCUAAAGGAAGUUCUUUAAUUCCUUCCAAAUUCUAAAACUGUACAACUUUGGAAAUGUACAGCUGGAUAUUUUGAAAGUAGACUUUAGCAUCAAAACUGGGAAUUUUGUACUUGCAGGAAUUUCAUGUGGGCAUGCAGAUCCUAAAUUGUGAUCCUUGUAAUACUUUCAGCAGUUGCCCUGUCAUUCUAAUGUCUCCACUUCAGAGGGGGUGUAUCAAUAUGUGUGGGUGUUGUAUUUUAAUACUUCCUGUGCCUGUGUGAUGUCAGCACAUGUUCAGAAGGACCUUGAUUAUUUUAAAAGCUAUAAAAAUGUGACCUUUUUCAUAUAUCCUUUGAGAGCUUCUGUCCUUGGGAGCUGUAAUACCCCAUUUCAGAUAUCCAGAAAGGACUUGGGGGAGAGGUACAAGAUAGGAUUUAGAUUCCAUUGUGGUCUGGUUCUUUGCAGGUUUGGUCUGACUCUGUGAUGCACUUCUCUGUGACUGACUAUGUUCAAGUUUCCUUUGAAAUCAUUGUAGGUCACCUUGCCUGUGCAGUGUAGGCUCCUGAAAGCCUGCAGUUCUUGUUCAAAGUUUAAAGUAGCAUGCAGAGGACUAGGCUUUCCCAAAGUCCAUUUUUUAUUAGCUGUAGAUCUUUAUGGUUUCUAUCUCAGGUUUUGAAUUUCAGACUUGAUCCCUGACCAUGACUUUGUGUGGUGGAGACUGAUUACUGCUAUGGCACCUAACUGAUUACUUAUCCCAGCCUGGUAACACUGCUAUAGUAUCUUCUCAUGCUUGUCAUUAACCAUACUCAUAAUAUCCUCUUAUACCUAAAUUGGUUCCAGUGUGGUAUGAUGCUAAUGGUCCAUUAAUGGAAUAAAGGUAGACUUAAUAGGCUUUUUGUGGAGUAACAGGUUCACAUGAGGGGUUCAGCUGUUGUAUAUUAUUCUGGGCAAUUCACUGAGUUAUGAAUGGGACUCAACAGUUUUCUGUUCAGGUAUGCCUGUUGUGCUUCUCUCUUAGAUGGGAGUCCUCAAGUAAGAAAGCAGAAGCCUCUAAGAAGUUAAAAAAUUUCUGCUGGCCAGAGGCUAAGUCUACUUUGAAUUAUAAGAAAUGUUUCUCUCAGGAGUUGCAUCUGGGUAGAGAAAGUCGUGGCUAUUAUGGCCAGAAUUUUCAGAUGAAUGAACUAUAAAUGUUAACUUUACAAUAAUUUGAAUUAUAACAUUUGCUUCUGUCCAGUAGCAGUUAUUGAAAUGCCUAGAAAACUGUGUCCUUCCUUCUUAUCCUUAUCAUUAGCGUUUUUGGUCCCUGUCCUGGCUCGGUGUAUCUUGCUUCAGCUUUAAAAUACACAAAUAAUUAUGAUCACCAACUGCUAAUAAUAAUGUGUCAUUAAUAAAUAGAAUCAUACAAUCAUCAGUCUUAGAAAAGACCUUCAAGAUGGUCCAGUCCUACCGUCCACCUAACUCUAAACUGGAUCACCCAGCACCAGAUCCAGACACUUCUUGAGCACCUCCAGGGACAGUGACUCUUCUUCCUCCCUGGGUAGCCUACUCCACUGCCUGACUACUUUAACAGCAAAAGAAUUUUUUUCAAGUAUCUAAUCUGAAUCUCUCAGUUUAAGGCUGUUCCCUCUGUUCCUUUCACUGCAGGCAUGGUAGAGGAGAUUGGCUCCCACCUCACCACAGCUUCCUUUCUGGGGGUUGUAGAGAGUGAUGAGGUGCCCCUUGAGCCUUCCUGAGACUGAACAAUCCCAGCUCCCUCAGUUGCUUCUUGUAAGACUCCUUUUCUAGACCCUUCAUGAGCCUUGCUGCCCUUUGCUAGACACACUCCAGCAACUCAAUGUCUUUUUUGAAGUGAGUGGCCCAGAACUGGACACAGCACUUGAGGUGCAGCCUCACCAAUGCUAAGUACAAGCAGACACUUCUCUGUGAAUGACAAGACGGGAAAGCUGGAAUUGUUCAGCCUGGAGAAGAGCAGGUUCAAGGAUGCCUUGCCCAUGUGCAGAAAUACCUGAUGGGAGUGUGCAGAGAAGUUGAAGCCAGGCUUUUCUCAGGUGUUCCCAGUGACAGGAAAAAGAGUCAGAGGGCACAAAUGGAAAUAGAGAAAAUUCCAUCUGAACAUAAGAAAGCACAUUUUUCUUGUGAGAGUGAUCAAACACUGGUAUAGAUUGUCCAGAGAAGUAGUUGCUUGAUGAUAUUUAAAAGCUGACUGGACAAAGCCCUGAGCUACUUGCUCUAGCUGACCCUUCUUUUAAGCAGGGGCUGGACUAAAUGAUUUUGAGAGGUUCCUUGCAUCAGCAACCCUUCUGUGAUUUUGUGAGCUUAAAGACCCUCCAUCCUGCUGUUGCUGAAGAGCAAAAAUGUACCAGCACUAUUUCUGUUUCCUUAAAAGCAUCUACUCUUCAAAGAGUAUGGGAGAAAAAAAUUGUUCUCAUUUGCUGUUGUGUGAUGAAAUGAAAUUCAGCUUGUGGCAAGUUGACAGGUAAUCUUUGAAUGUACUUUCUGAUACUUUUUUUUUUCUGAAUAAGUUACUUUUUUUCUUGUCUGUAAUCAUAGUGAAAAGAACAUUGUAAGGAAAACCCAGGGAGCAGAGAAGAAGGAAUUAUUGUUAAUUUAGUAUGUGAUGUGUUUUCUUUUCAAUCUAAAUAGAAGUAUUAUACAGGAAUUACAGAUUGAGGAGUCAUACUCAUAUACAAUGAGUUCUUUACAUGGCUAUGAAGCUUCAAGUUUAAAAAUAGUUGGUUUCCUCUUAGCUAAAAGUAGUGAUUUUAAAUGAUCUUGGUUUUACAUCAUUGAACCCUUUGCUUUCUUUCUCUGCAGGGAAGAGGUGGUUCUUUCCCAGUAAUGGCCUUUUGGGUGCAAUGGUACCCUGGGUUUUCAUGCAACGUGACAAAGCUUCUGGUCCUUUGAUACCGCUUUUCUUGAAGAUUUUAUUUUUCUUUCCUAAUGCUCUACAGCUUACUGUUUUGUAUGGUAUAGUGUAUUUUAGUAUUGAUUUGUGAGAAUCUGGAAAGUAUUUCUUUGUCUGUUGGGUAAGAAGAAGAAACUUGGCCUUCUUAAAACAUGAAUGGACACAAAUGGGACAGGCUGUUAAUUGUUUCUAGUGUUUCUCUGUGGCCUUGAACAAAUCACUUAAAUUUCACAUUAUUGUCGAUUCACAGGUUUUGUUAUAGGCUCAUUCAGCAAGCUAACAAAGUUGCAGUGAAUAUAAUCUUCUAAAUCACUAUUACUAUUACUUGUGCAACUCUGUGUUCUGAAUUUAAAGAGAUGCUUGUCUUUCCUGCACGACACAGCUCUGUUACAAUGCGUUCCUUUUGCCCAAAAUCACUAAUACAGCCCUACAAAGGACAGCGUUCAUUGACUGUAUCCUGUGCACAAAGGAUAUAAGUUUCAUUGUU